UCUUCGGAGCUGUAAGCGGGCUGUUCUUGCGGUUUUCCUGUUUCAGAUCCAAUUCUGUGGCAUCACUAGGAAGGGAGCUCUUGUGCUUAGCACGUAGCCUCGUCCUCAGACUUGGACAGACACAAGGGAGGCUCCGCUGGACCGGAGGGCACAAGAGCUCCGAGCCCGGUCGUCGGGGCGGUAGAACCUGGAAGCGGGAGAGUGGUCUGGUACUGCUAUAACCAGAAUUUGGUAGAAAAAGGAUUUACUUGUUGGGGCCCUCUUGAUAAAAAGAGAUGUGGGGGGAUUCUCGACCUGCUAACAGAACUGGACCUUUUCGGACUGGGUGAAAGCUUUUUCUGCAGCAGUCAUGUUGAAAACCUUGUGUUGACUUUCCUCGUGUUCUGAAAUGGGAGCAUAAAAGUUUACUCCGCCACUUCGUCUUAAAAUAGCAAAACUUUGCUGUUUUCUGCAGAUCUAGGACCUUGUUACAGAACUCUG
rnacentral:lncRNA from 1 species